rnacentral:misc_RNA from 1 species
UCCGAGUUGUCCCCGGCAGUCCUUCUAGAGUCCCCGGCAUUACCCGCUGGCAACUAAAAGCAGGGGUUGCGCUCGUUGCGGCACUUAAGCCAACACCUCACGGCACGAGCUGACGACGGCCAUGCAGCACCUGUGUUCGAGUUCCCGAAGGCACCAAUCCAUCUCUGGAAAGUUCUCGACAUGUCAAGGCCAGGUAAGGUUCUGCGCGUUGCUUCGAAUUAAACCACAUGCUCCACCGCUUGUGCGGGCCCCCGUCAAUUUCUUUGAGUUUUAAUCUUGCGACCGUACUCCCCAGGCGGAAUGCUUAAUCCGUUAGGUGUGACACCGAAGGGCAAGCCCCCCGACGUCUGGCAUUCAUCGUUUACGGCGUGGACUAC